GAGGAAAAGAAACUAACAAGGAUUCCCCUAGUAACGGCGAGUGAAGCGGGAAGAGCUCAAAUUUGAAAUCUGGUGGCCUCAGGUCAUCCGAGUUGUAAUCUAUAGAAGUGUUUUCCGUGCUGGCUCAUGUACAAGUCCCUUGGAACAGGGCGUCAUAGAGGGUGAGAAUCCCGUCCUUGACAUGAACUACCAGUGCUCUGUGAUACAUUUUCAACGAGUCGAGUUGUUUGGGAAUGCAGCUCAAAAUGGGUGGUAAAUUCCAUCUAAAGCUAAAUAUUGGCGAGAGACCGAUAGCGAACAAGUACCGUGAGGGAAAGAUGAAAAGCACUUUGGAAAGAGAGUUAAACAGUAUGUGAAAUUGUUGAAAGGGAAACGAUUGAAGUCAGUCGUGCUCUUUGGAUUCAGCCGGUUCUGCCGGUGUACUUCCUUUGAGUGGGGUCAACAUCAGUUUUGAUCGCUGGAUAAAGGCUGGAGGAACGUAGUACCCUCGGGUAAACUUAUAGCCUCCUGUCACAUACAGUGGUUGGGACUGAGGAACGCAGCACGCCUUUAUGGCCGGGAUUCGUCCACGUACGUGCUUAGGAUGUUGACAUAAUGGCUUUAAACGACCCGU
rnacentral:rRNA from 1 species